AUGGAGGAUGUUGUAGGGAUGAUGAGGGGGUUGAAACUUUCAGAGGAGGAGAAAAAAGGGGUGAAGAUCCGAAUUCCUGCGAGAGAGAAGGGGAAGAAUGUGGAGAUCCAGGCGGUGGGUAAGGUCCAUUCGGACAAACUGGUGCAUCAGGAUGCGAUCUCUCUCUCGCUAGGGCGCCUGUGGUGUCCGAUCAAGGGCACUGAUUGCAAUGACGUGGGAGAGAAUAUGUUUGUGUUCAUGUUCAAUCAAGAGUCUGGUAAGAGGAAGGCAAUCGAAGACGGACCUUGGAUGUUCGAUAAGGAUCUAGUGGUGGUUGAGGAUUAUGUGCCAAGCAAGCGGAUGGAGGAUUAUGAGUUCAACAAUAUUCUGAUUUGGGUGCGAGUGUAUGGCCUACCCCUUGGCAUGAUGAAUGAGGAGUCAGCAGAGGAGAUUGGGAACAUCAUAGGAAGGUAUGUGGAGACAGAUACGGGGAGGGAUGGCAAGGCUAUGGGGAAGUUCAUGAGGGUUAAGGUGAGGUUUUGUAUCGAGAAGCCCAUCAUGAAGGGCUUUACACUUGAGAAGGAUGACCCAGGGGAGGUAGUGCGGAAGGGGAAGGGAAAGGCUGGAAAGCAAGAUGUGGAUGGGUCAUGGUGCCGCUUUGAAUAUGAGUACCUUCCUGAUUUUUGUUACACAUGUGGCAUCAUUGGGCAUGGAGAGAAGGACUGA
rnacentral:rRNA from 1 species